rnacentral:rRNA from 1 species
AGUGGGGAAUAUUGGACAAUGGGGGCAACCCUGAUCCAGCCAUGCCGCGUGUGUGAAGAAGGCCUUAGGGUUGUAAAGCACUUUCAGUGGGGAGAAAAGUCAUUCACCUAAUACGUGAGUGAAUUGAUGUUACCCACAGAAGAAGCACCGGCUAACUCCGUGCCAGCAGCCGCGGUAAUACGGAGGGUGCAAGCGUUAAUCGGAAUUACUGGGCGUAAAGCGCACGUAGGUGGUUUGUUAAGCCAGCUGUGAAAUCCCCGGGCUCAACCUGGGCACUGCAGUUGGAACUGGCAAGCUAGAGUAGGGUAGAGGGGUGUGGAAUUCCAGGUGUAGCGGUGAAAUGCGUAGAUAUCUGGAGGAACAUCAGUGGCGAAGGCGACACCCUGGACUCAUACUGACACUGAGGUGCGAAAGCGUGGGGAGCAAA